GAACGCACUUAAACGGAUGCGGUAAAGCGUGCUAAGGUAGCUAAGUUAUGGUCCAUUAAUUAUGGAUCCUGUGAAUGGAUUGACGAGUUUUUUACUGUCUCUGGUUUAAUAAGGUUAAAUUUAAUUGGUGGUGUAAAUGCCUUCGUGGGAAAGAAAGACGAGAAGACCCCGUGAAGUUUGAAAUGUGGGUGAGUUUUAGAAAUAGAAAGUUGGUUGUAUGUUUUUGCUGGGGCAGCAAGGGGGCAGAGUUAGACCCCCUCAUCUAGAAAAUAGGUGUAUUAGGAUCCAUGGAUUUUUAACGCCUGAUUUAAAGAAGGAGUUACUCCGGGGAUAACAGCGUAAUCUGCCUUGAGAGUUCUUAUUGGCAGGCAGGUUUGCGACCUCGAUGUUGGUUCAGGAUGUCCUUAAGCUUGUAGGCGGCUUAAAGGGUUGGUUUGUUCGACCAUUAAUAUUCU
rnacentral:rRNA from 1 species